UGAGCUCUCUUGGAAAAGCUCUCAGAUCCUGGCUGUGAUGAUUUGCAUGUACGCCAGCUCUCAUUGGACAUAGAGCGGGGCCUCAGCUGCUGCCUUCCUCACCACCGCNNNNNNNNNNNNNNNNNNNNNNNNNNNNNNNNNNNNNNNNNUGCCACCGCAGAAGAAGCCGAGUCUCUCAAGUACACUCAGCCUCUUUCCCCUACGGCCACCUGCCAUCCGACACCUUUCCCCACUGGCUCCAAGUUCCGCUGGGAUCUUGGUUACAGGUGCAAAGCCACAGUGAGGAGGACGAGAGCUGCGGGCCCAACAGUCCCAGACACCCCCACCUGUACUAGACUUUUGCUGGCAAAGACUCAAGAAGCUUUCUCCACCACCACAACCAUACAUGCUCUGAGAGCUCUGGCUUCAGAGACGAGCCUAACUCCCACCUCCUCUUAGAAGGGGUUGUGCUGCCCCCAACACCCAGCUCCCGCUCCCUGCCCCUACAAACCCUGAACUCGGUAGGAGAAAAGCAGCAGGGUACACUGGAAAGAAGACCAGACUGAGAGACUUGGAAUCUUCGCCCUGAGGCUAUGGUGCACACUGCAUGCACAGAGAAAGACCUGAGGCACGUCCCGUCAUUUCUCUGUGCUGUGGUUUCUCUAUCAUGUGGGCAUUAGAAUAUGCAAGGUGGACAGUGGUAAUCUAGACAAAGACUUAAUUUGCUCCCGAGCUUUGACACUGCCUAGGGCGGUUAGAGGAUUUAACGAUGGUCCAGUUUGGGCAACAAGGAUUGCUACUGGAAUAUUCUGAAAGGACCCAAGCUAAAUGAAGAAGGAGAAAUCCCACCUCAGGCCCUGAAACCUUGGUGCACCCAGCCCUGGGGUCCUUCCCUUGGAGCCUCUAUAUAUCCUGAUGUGUUCCCAAUUAAAUUCGAGGAAGUCUUCCACGACACCAGAGUCCUGCUCUUCUUCUUGAAAUCUCACCUGAAGAGCCUCCCCUUAUCCCAAAUUUCUUCCUCUAGCUCAAAUUUUAUAUCUUCAUAGGAAAAGAGAUGAGUGGGAUUCAGCAUUCUUCCUCUUGGCCAUUGCAAUACAAUCACAGUAUUUUCUGCUGGCAGAGAACAAAACACAAAUAAAAAU
rnacentral:lncRNA from 1 species